GCAGUCGAACGCGAAAGUCCCGCAAGGGAUAAGUAGAGUGGCAAACGGGUGAGUAACACGUGGGUGACCUGCCUUCGAGCGGGGGAUAACGUCCCGAAAGGGACGCUAAUACCGCAUAACAUCCUGCCUUUUAAGAGGUGGAGAUCAAAGCCGGGGAUUCCCAAGAACCUGGCACUUGAAGAGGGGCCCGCGCCUGAUUAGCUAGUUGGUGGGGUAAUGGCUCACCAAGGCAACGAUCAGUAUCCGGCCUGAGAGGGCGGACGGACACACUGGGACUGAGACACGGCCCAGACUCCUACGGGAGGCAGCAGUGGGGAAUUGUUCGCAAUGGGCGCAAGCCUGACGACGCAACGCCGCGUGGAGGAUGAAGACCUUCGGGUCGUAAACUCCUUUCGAUCGAGACGAAUGGUUUUCGGGUGAACAAUCCGGAAAAGUGACGGUACCGAGAGAAGAAGCCCCGGCUAACUCCGUGCCAGCAGCCGCGGUAAUACGGGGGGGGCAAGCGUUGUUCGGAAUUACUGGGCGUAAAGGGCUCGUAGGUGGCCAACUAAGUCAGACGUGAAAUCCCUCAGCUUAACUGGGGAACUGCGUCUGAUACUGGAUGGCUUGAGUUUGGGAGAGGGAUGCGGAAUUCCAGGUGUAGCGGUGAAAUGCGUAGAUAUCUGGAGGAACACCGGUGGCGAAGGCGGCAUCCUGGACCAACACUGACACUGAGGAGCGAAAGCCAGGGGAGCAAACGGGAUUAGAUACCCCGGUAGUCCUGGCCCUAAACGAUGAAUGCUUGGUGUGUCGAGUAUCGAUCCCUGCCGUGCCG
rnacentral:rRNA from 1 species